GACGAACGCUGGCGGCGUGCCUAACUCAUGCAAGUCGUACGGUAAGGCCCUUUCGGGGGUACACGAGUGGCGAACGGGUGAGUAACACGUGAGUAACCUGCCCACAACUUUGGGAUAACGCUAGGAAACUGGUGCUAAUACUGGAUAUGUGCUCCUGCUGCAUGGUGGGGGUUGGAAAGCUCCGGCGGUUGUGGAUGGACUCGCGGCCUAUCAGCUUGUUGGUGGGGUAGUGGCCUACCAAGGCGGCGACGGGUAGCCGGCCUGAGAGGGUGACCGGCCACAUUGGGACUGAGAUACGGCCCAGACUCCUACGGGAGGCAGCAGUGGGGAUUAUUGCACAAUGGGCGCAAGCCUGAUGCAGCAACGCCGCGUGCGGGAUGACGGCCUUCGGGUUGUAAACCGCUUUCAGCAGGGACGAAGCUUUUUGUGACGGUACCUGCAGAAGAAGCACCGGCUAACUACGUG
rnacentral:rRNA from 1 species